rfam:Synergistales bacterium 53_16 MPI_scaffold_266, whole genome shotgun sequence.
GGAGAAGUGGCCGAGUGGUCGAAGGCGGGCGCUUGGAGAGCGUCUGGGCGGUAACGCCCCGGGGGUUCGAAUCCCUCCUUCUCCG